rnacentral:lncRNA from 1 species
UUAGAGACACGCCGCUUCACUUCAUCUUCCCCCUAACCCCUCCAAUCCCAUAAAAUCCACCACAUCCUACAGAGCUUCUCUGCAAGCCGGAAUCGGCGAAAAAAGUGUGUGAAAAUCCGACCCCGGUGAUUAACGGCCGUCGUGCGAAUUGUAACCUAGCGUCACUCGGUGCUUGCCGUCAGAGAACGUUAACCGUUGUUCCGCAGUCGUCAACACCGCCACCACACCGCCAAUCCGUUAGGAGCUAAUGUGAUCGUAGGUCUGAGAUCUUGAUCUGCCGGAGCGGUUACACCACCGCCUGUAAGUCACGUGCAAUGGUACUAUCCACCAACGCCACCGCCGGCGUCACCGUACCACCACCAGGCAACAUUGCCGUACUACGGUUAUGCUCCGGCUGCUUACGUGGCAACAACGGAUGUCAGUUACAAUCACUUUUGUCCAAAAUAAGAUCAUUUGGGAAGAAUGAUGAUGGAAGGGAAAAUCAGUCAGAUGGUUCAGAUUCAAAUGCUUGCAGCUACUCCUGAUAUCAUGAGGAAACUUACUAAUUAGUGGAGAGAGUGUUGAUUGGAUUAAUAUGCUACAUGAGCUCCAACAUUUUCUACAUGAUCAUGGAUCCAAUGAUUUAUGGAAUUGUUGCUGAUCAUAGUGACAACAAUGUUAUUUAUGCUACAAUAUUUCCACAUAAUAUUGGCCACAUAGCUACCAGGGACACUAAUCUUGUGAAGAGAAUAGGUGCAACCACUAUUGCUGAAGUCAGAGCUAUCGGAAUUUCAUAUGCAUUUGCUCCUUGUAUUGAUGUAAGUAUAAUAAAAUAUGUAAGUAUGUGUCUAUAAAGAACUGUUUUUAUAGGUAUGCAGAGAUCUAAUAUGCGGGCGUGCUAUGAGAGUUACAGUGAGGAUAAUGAACUUGUUCAAAGUAUGAAUAAGAUUGUAUUAGGAUUGCAAGGGCAUUCUGUAUCAAUACAGUGAUGACUUGCAAUAUAUACCUGGUGUGACCAGUUUUGCAUGUUUCUCCGGUUUUCAUGGUUGGUAACGGUUCCUCCACCAUGCUUGGACCCAUGAAGCCCGAACCAAAACCACCAAAGGCAUCAGUUGCUCAAAAACGUCGAAGGUCGUUUAAGGUAGAGACGGUGAAACCGAAAGAGGUCUCGAGGAUACUGUUUCUAAAGAAAAGAUGGAAACCGAAAAGACGAUCGCUAAAAUGUUUGAUGUUCUAAAAAUCAACAAAAAAGUUCGUCUUGAGAACCUGCUUGGUGAAAGAUGGCCGGGUUGUGAUAACGGUGGAUGAUAAUGGCUGUCAUCAUGUUUGUAUGUCACAUUUCUUAACUAUGUUCACCACGGAAUGCUCCUGCUGCUUCCAUGAUUACAUCUAGGAAGGUGGUAUACUCACAAUUCAUCUUUAGGUUUGACUUCAGUGACUGGAAGGUACAUGGCUUGAAAUUCCAUCGCUUGAAGAACCUUUACUGUGAUCGAGGUUACGGAAACUGAGAGAUAUUUACACGUGGCAAGGAAGAGAAAGAAGACGAUCUUGGCUGUAGUUAUCAUGCACUUUGGAUAAUUUAGGGGGCAAGAAACAAGAAGGUGUUUGAAAAUCGACCAAUUUCGGUUACGAAGGCAACAGAAGAAAUUCAGGAAACCAACUUCCUUUGGCUUAAACAUCGGGCGAGAUGGAAGACAAUGACUUUUGAUGAGUGGUUAAAAUUUGAUGUAAACCUUUUCUACUCAGUUUUCGUUAUAUUGGUGUAAGCAUGGCCUCCGCUAGCACUUAUUUGGUUCGAGUUUUUUUUGCUUGGUUUUGGUGUUUUAUCGGAUGGCUUUGUUUGUUAAAAAAACUAACUUUCGAGAUCAAACUAAUCAUGUUUUUGCUAGAUACCACAAAUGAAUGGAAA